rnacentral:misc_RNA from 1 species
GAUGAAGAACGCAGCGAAAUGCGAAAAGUAGUGUGAAUUGCAGAAUUCAGUGAAUCAUCGAAUCUUUGAACGCACAUUGCGCCCCCUGGUAUUCCGGGGGGCAUGCCUGUCCGAGCGUCAUUGCUGCCCUCAAGCACGGCUUGUGUGUUGGGCUCCGCCCCCCUCCCGGGGGGCGGGCCCGAAAGGCAGCGGCGGCACCGCGUCCGGUCCUCGAGCGUAUGGGGCUUUGUCACCCGCUCUGUAGGCCCGGCCGGCGCCCGCCGGCGACCCCAAUCAAUCUUUCCAGGUUGACCUCGGAUCAGGUAGGGAUACCCGCUGAACUUAAGCAUAUCAAUAAGCGGAGGA